AGCAGCCGCGGUAAUUCCAGCUCCAAUAGCGUAUAUUAAAGUUGUUGCAGUUAAAAAGCUCGUAGUUGAAUUUCGAGACCGGCUUACUGGUCGUGCUAUUGUGCGUACUGGUAUAAUCGGUUUCUCCUUUCUGACGAACUAUAAUGCCAUUAAUUUGGUGUUAUAGGGAAUCAGGACUGUUACUUUGAAAAAUUAGAGUGUUUAAAGCAGGCUCACGCUUGAAUACAUUAGCAUGGAAUAACGGAAUAGGACGUUUGAUUCUAUUUUGUUGGUUUCUAGGAUCGACGUAAUGAUUAAUAGGGAUAGUUGGGGGCAUUAGUAUUCAAUUGUCAGAGGUGAAAUUCUUGGAUUUAUUGAAGACUUAACUACUGCGAAAGCAUUUGCCAAGGAUGUUUUCAUUAAUCAAGAACGAAAGUUAGGGGAUCGAAGACGAUCAGAUACCGUCGUAGU
rnacentral:rRNA from 1 species